GAUGAACGCUGGCGGUGUGCCUAAUACAUGCAAGUCGAGCGGACAGACGAGGAGCUUACUCCUCUGACGUUAGGGGCGGACGGGUGAGUAACACGUGGAUACCCUACCUAUAUGACGGGGAUAAUUUCGGGAAACCGGCGCUAAUAGCGGAUAACAUGCUGAACCGCAGGGUUCAACAGUGAAAGACGGUCUUGCUGGCUCUUAUAGCUGCAUCCGCGUCGCAUUAGCUAGUAGGGAAGGUAACGGGUUAUCAAGGCAAGGAUGCGUAGCCGAACUGAGAGGCGGAUCGGCCACACGAGAGGUGAGCCACGGUCAAGACUCCUACGGGAGGCAGCAGUCGGGAAUCUGCCGCAAUGGGCGAAAGCAUGACGGAGCAGCGCGGCGUGAGUGAAGAAGGUCUUCGGAUCGUAAAACUGUGUUAUUAGGGAAGAACAACUGUGUAAGUAAACAUGCACGGCUUGACGGUACCUAAUAAGAAAGCAACGGCUAACUACGUG
rnacentral:rRNA from 1 species